rnacentral:lncRNA from 1 species
GCAGGAGGGCUCUGCAGGAGGGUCUGGGUAGGCUGGACCAAUGGGCUGAGGUCAACUGUAUGAAGUUCAACAAGGCCAAGUGCCGGGUCCUGCACCUGGGGCGCAACAACCCCAAGCAGCUCUACAGGCUGGGAGAUGAGUGGUUGGAAAGCUGCCUGGCAGAGAAGGACCUGGGAGUACUGGUUGAUAGUCGGCUGAAUAUGAGCCAGCAGCGUGCUCAGGUGGCCAAGAAGGCCAACAGCAUUCUGGCUUGUGUAAGAAACAGUGUGGCCAGCAGGGCUAGGGAAGUGAUUGUCCCCCUGUACUCGGCUCUGGUGAGGCCGCACCUCGAGUACUGUGUUCAGUUUUGGGCCCCUCACUACAAGAAGGACAUGGAGGUGCUAGAGCACGUCCAGAGAAGGACGAUGAGGCUGGUGAGGGGUCUGGAGAACAAGGCUUACGAGGAGCGGCUGAGGGAGCUGGGGUUGUUCAGCCUGGAGAAGAGGAGGCUCAGGGGCGACCUUAUCGCUCUCUACAGGUACCUUAAAGGAGGCUGUAGCGAGGCGGGGGUUGGUCUGUUCUCCCACGUGCCUGGUGACAGGAUGAGGGGGAAUGGGCUACAGUUGCGCCAGGGGAGGUUUAGGUUGGAUAUUAGGAAGAACUUCUUUACUGAAAGGGUUGUUAGGCAUUGGAAUGGGCUGCCCAGGGAAGUGGUUGAGUCACCAUCCCUGGAGGUCUUUAAGAGACGUUUAGAUGUAGAGCUUAGUGAUAUGGUUUAGUGGAGGACUUGUUAGUGUUAGGUCAGAGGUUGGACUAGGUGAUCUUGGAGGUCUCUUCCAACCUAGAUGCUUCUGUGAUUCUGUGAUACUCCAGAAUCCAAACAUACUCCAUACUCCAUCCAAACACAAUGUUUCUUCAUGAAGAAACAUAGGGACUUUUGUACAGAAUCAUUUUUGUCUCCUAAACACUUCAAGAUAAACAUACAAACACAAAGAAUUUAAAGUAUCCAAAGUGUUACAGAAAAAGCU